CCCUAUAAGAGUAGCAACCUUGAGGUGCUCACCGCUACUUGUGGAGAGUAAUCUCUUCUCCAGCGAGAGGUUCCGUGUGGAGAUCCCGUGUGAGAGUAAUUUCUUCUCAAGCGAUGAUGCAUCCCCCACUGCUUGUGGAGGAAGACACCGCUGCCAAUAAGGUGCUCACCAAUGACGACCUUCUAGGUGAGAUCCUUCCGCGCAUCCACUGCCCAUCUUGCCUUGUUUGUGCCGCGCUCACCAGCAAGAGGUGGCUCCGCAACGUCUCCAGUGAGACCACCAUCCGCCGCUUCCGUUCACGGAUGCCAUCCCAACUACUCGGGGUCUACGUCUCCAUUGAUGGCUUCUCUAACCCGAAGUUCGUGUCGCUACCUGAUGCUUCAAGGCCUGAGCACGCAGCUGCACUCCGUCAUGGUAAUUUUAGUUUUGAUGACAUGGAUUGUCCAUUGCUGACUAUUUGGGAUUGCCGCAAUGACCGUGUCCUCUAUGGAUUCAGUGAAUCCUUUCAUGUUGCUUUUGACCCUGCUGUGAGGGCACCACUACGGUGCCCCGGAGAAGACACGGUCAUGCUCCCUCCACAACCAUCCACAACCUGGCCCAAUUGUCCUCACGCUAUGCUCCUUCCUGAUGAGGACAAUGAUGACUCCUCAUGUUAUUGUGUCGACAUCGUCAACAAGGACCAGACAGUCCACGCGAAGGUAUUUGUCCUACGGGCUGGCUCCUGGACCGUUCACUUCUCAGCCAUGGCAGAUCUUGCCAAGUCUCCACAGGAGAUCCUGACGAUGACUCUGCUCAUGCGUGGCAAGAUUUACAUGCUGACCAUGGCAGGAUACAUCCUUACACUGGAUCUAGCCACCACAAGAUUUUCUAUUGUUGAUCCCCCUAGAGGUGUGGAAUUUGAGUACACCGGCAACCUUGUCCCUUGCCGGGGAGAUGACUCUGUUCUACCUCUUAAAUGUGAAGGGGGACAAGCUUACUGUCUGGUUCCAGAGGAUGGAUGACCACAGCAGCGUUGGAAGCCGCCCUGGCGAGUGGCAACUCAGGGACACCAUUUCCCUACUUGAAGCAUGUGGCCAUCUCAUGCAGCAGGGUGGGGACCCAAUAGAUGGGCAGGAGCGGGAGGAGGGCGUUGUGUCGAUUGUCGGCGUCGGGGACAAUGCUAGGUUCGUGUUCUUGGAGUUUGAAGAAACUGGUGUCAUAGCGUACAUGCAUCUCAAGACCAGAAAGGUGAAGAAGGUAUACCAAAGGCACCCAGACAACGAUUUCGCUAUAAGUGUUCUUCCGUUCAUGAUGGUCUGCCCUGUCAUCUUCCCAGAACUAGGUGCAAAUGAAGGUGAAGGAUUGCAGCAAGAGUAGACGUCCUAGAGUUUAUAUUUACUUUCUUUAAUCUGAAUAAGCUAUUUUAUAGACACAGGAGGCAGAAAUGGAGCCAUGGGCAUUGUGUGAUUUCUGUUCUCAUCUUUGAACAGCUUUGCUUUACUCUGGUGCUCAUUAAGAGUUAAGACUUAUUCAGCUGCAUUAACAAUCAUGGUAUAUAUUCGUUUGCAUUCCCUAAUUCGUCC